GGCUAUCUCAAUUCGCGACUUCCGAACUCAUCCUCAGUCUAUCAUUCUGAUGCAGGGGUCCUGAAAGAAGUUGGAACGUUUUGAACCGUCUCAGCCAAUAAGUAUUAGAAAAUAGGUAGUCGCUUAAUGAUUAGUUUCUUCGCUGCCCGUCAACUUACCAUCCAAGCAAGCACUAUGUCUGUCAAACCAUUAGCUGAAUACGGUUAAUACCAGUAGUUCGCCAAAACAAGAGGUUAAGAAUCGUACUGAAUCAAAAGAGGUAUUUAUUCGAACCAAAUUUCAUAAUGAUAACGGUUGGAAGCCCGAAGGAAUUUUUGAAAAAUGCUUCCUGCCCAUUACCUUCAGUCGUUGCUGCGCCCCGAAAACAAAGUAUUAACAGUUAUAUAAAUUGAAGUGCAUAUCUGGGCUCCCUUCUUUUCUGUGGCCCCGUUUCCCCUUGAUUUUUAAUAAGCCCGUAGGGGGUCAUGCCCCUACUGUGAUCAGCAGUAACGGUUGUGAGUGCGCUGUCUGGAAAGGGGACGUGGGGGUCCUCAUGGUCCGAUGAUAUCAUUGGAGGGCUGUGAGGCUACUCAAAAAUCCGAAUUAACAGUUAAUCGCUCACGUAAAAGCUUGUCCGCAACCUUCGCUCUUCUUCCGGCUUCUCUUAGCCACGCACCGGGUAAUCUCCCCGGUGAGUCAACUGAGGUAGUGUCUCCCCCUACCUUGGUUGACAGCAACUUUGAAAUCGGCUAUUUUGCCAUUUCAAAGUUGCUAGUCUUUAAA